UUAUGGCUCAGGAUGAACGCUAGCUACAGGCUUAACACAUGCAAGUCGAGGGCAGCAUGUGGUUGCUUGCAACCAAUGAUGGCGACCGGCGCACGGGUGAGUAACGCGUAUCCAACCUUCCCUAUAGUAGAGGAUAGCCCGGCGAAAGUCGGAUUAAUACUCUAUGUUUUCCAAUGCAGACAUCUAAAAAUGGAACAAAGGUUCACCGCUAUAGGAUGGGGAUGCGUCUGAUUAGAUAGUCGGCGGGGUAACGGCCCACCGAGUCGACGAUCAGUAGGGGUUCUGAGAGGAAGGUCCCCCACAUUGGAACUGAGACACGGUCCAAACUCCUACGGGAGGCAGCAGUGAGGAAUAUUGGUCAAUGGGCGAGAGCCUGAACCAGCCAAGUAGCGUGCAGGAUGACGGCCCUAUGGGUUGUAAACUGCUUUUAUACAGGGAUAAAGUGACGUACGUGUACGUUUUUGUAGGUACUGUAUGAAUAAGGACCGGCUAAUUCCGUGCCAGCAGCCGC
rnacentral:rRNA from 1 species